GAAAUCUGCCCCCGAGUCCUCAUGGACUCUUUCUCCUAUCCUUGUAUCUUCUUAUUGGGCCACGGAGGCCCAAUUUUCUCCUAUUCGAGUCAGCCGUCUAUAAAAAAUCGACGAACAGGUCCCGGAGCCUAAAAAUAUGCAUCGAAUCGGAGAGUUGAAGGAAUUGGGCCAAAAAGCCCACUUUUAUUUUAAAAGUUGUAUUUUGUUACUUUUGGACCUAAACCCUUUGCAUUUUAAUUAUCAUUAU
rnacentral:lncRNA from 1 species